rnacentral:lncRNA from 1 species
UCGCCGUUGAGCGCCAUGGCUUCAGCGGUCAGGUUUUCCGUCGUUUCUAGAUUUCGAUUCGUCUGUUAGGGCUCGGUUUAUUCCUGCGAUAUUGAUGAUUUAUUUCGAUGGAUUACGUUUGUUAUCGGUGUGUGAUUUUAGGGUUUGGAUUCUUGGCGAUGGGGAUUUUUCUUGCCAGGUUAAAAUUUUUGAUCUAACGAUGCUUGAAGGUUGAAUUUCCUUAUAUAUUUCAAUUUUUUGGAUUGCGUUUCCGGUUUUGAUUCAUCUGUUUGGGAUUGAUUGAUUGAUUCUGCGUUCGUAGUGCUGUCGGUGUGUUUCUAGGGUUUGGUGGCUGGAUUCGUGGCAAUCGCCUCAUUCUAACAGGUUUAAUAAAGUUUGGAUCUGUCGGUGUGUUUCUAGGGUUUGUUGGCUGGAUUCGUGGCAAUCGCCUCUUUCUAACAGGUUUAAUAACGUUUGGAUCUGAUUAUUUUUCAAAGGUUGCGAAUUCCCAAUCGAAUUUUGUGGAUAUUGAUGGAUUUUGAUAUCUCAUCUUAAAUCUGUUGAUCUGCUUUUGGGUUUUUUGAUUUGGUGUGGUGGUUCCAGGGCGUUUUGGAUUCAAUAACUGGUUCAGCUAGGAGUUCGAUUUGAAGAUUCUCUAUUUACCCUGGGUUUUUGCGUAUCUUCUGUUACCUCAUUGAAGUUUAUGAAAUGAUGAUUUAGUUUAGAAAUUUUGAUCCCCAUCCCAUAUAUGUCCGAAUAAAUGGAGCUUUGUUGUUAACUUUCAGGCAUGGAUUGCGGGUUUCAGUCGCAUAGAUGUCUUAAGACUCGAGCGGUUAGGUAUUGUAUUUGGCUAAUGUUUUGAUGGCGUUCUUGUGUGAUUGCUCUGUGGUUGGGUUUGUACUCCUGUUUUCGCGAUAAAAAUCUUUUGAUGCCUCCCUUUCUUCUUAAAUGUUUAUUUUCCUCCUCUCUCAUUCAAAAAUCGUUCUAAAUUUUAUUACCUUCUAUUGGCAGAUACUAAAUUGGGAAUUUGUACGGUAUUAUCAAGCUGGCAUUAUUUUACACGUAAAUUGGGAAUAUGUUCAAAUCGGGUUUAAUGUCCUCAAUAUUGAUUAUUUCCAUUCAAUUCUGCAUCUUUUUGCAGUCGCUCGUUUUCAGAUCUUUUUAUUUCUUUCCUCAGAUUUAUUUUCCUAUCUCAGAAAAUGUUUGGCCUACGUUUAUUUUUGUUUAGCAGCUACUUUUUAAUUUUUAUUCCUAAAUAAAUAUUGGCUAUUAUGUAUUUUAAGGCUUCUUGCCCACAGCUUUUGUUUUAUAGUUCUAAGAGUCUUGAAGGUUUCGUUUUUUGUUUAGCAGCGUCUUAUGCAAAUGCGUUCUAAUUCUUCUUAGCCAGUCACAGCUAAGAUUUUUUGUAGAUGAAAAAUGUUUCAGGGAGCUGGAGGUGUCUCGGUUUGUUUAUGCACCCUGCUUGGCUUCUUGUUUCUGUUAAAUGUCCAUUACAUUCGAUUGCUGUGUUGUCCUGCCCUUGAUGUUUAGUGCAGAUUCAUCAACAGGGUUCUAACUUCACUCUAUGAGUGGGCACUUAAAGAAGGGGUUUCUCUUGGCUUUUGAUUCUUUUUUUUUUUGUAUUUUAGAGCGUAUAGGUUUUGUGCCACAAUCUGAGCAGUUCUUUUGUCUGCAGACACAUUUUAUUCUUGUUGAGGGAGAGCUGGGUGUUUCAAAGAUGGGGUUUGAGUGGUUCUGAGUGUGAUUUAACUUUUAUGAAUUUGAGCCAUUGUUAUAUCAAUGAUCUUAUUAAAAAAAUUUCUGGUUACAGUUUCGCUGGGUCGAGGAAAAUGGCUGCCUGAUUUAAAGGGGGUUUGUUUCUUUGCUUAUGUUUUAACUGUAUUCUUAGGGCUUAUGAGAUCUAGCACCAUUAUUUGUGGAAUAUUCUUUGCAGAUGAUGUAUCUUGUUUGUUUAUGAAGUCUAAUCUUGUUGGAGCAGAACAUGCUGGUUUGGAGGGGGUCUAAGUGCUUUCUUGCUUUUUAAUUGAAUACUCAUUCAUUUGAUUUGUUUGGUCCUACGUUUGUGUCUACCCAUUCUUGUUUGUAUGCAGAUGUGGGUCGAAGUGCACCUUGUUAGGAUUCUACAGUUUGGGAGCUUUGUGUGGCUUGGUUUGUUUAUUCACCCUGAUUGGCUUCUUGUUUCUGUUAAAUGACCAUUACAUUCGAUUUCUGUGCUGUCCUUCCUUUGGUGUCUUAUGCAGAUGCAUAGCUGAGUCCUAACUCUAUCCAUCCCUAGUAAAGAGUGUCGGAGUUUCACUUCUUUAAAACAUGAGCGGGCAGAAUUUUAAUAGGGGGUUCCUCUUGGCUUAUGAUUCUAUUUUUGUAUUUUAGAGCGAAUGGAUCUUGCCAUAAUCUGAGCAAUGUUUCCUUAUGCAGACACAUUCUAAUCUUUUUGGAAGGAGAACAUGCUGCUUCAAAGCGGGGGUUUGAGUGGUUUUCGAUUGAUUUAAUUUUAUGUGAUUUUGAAACAUUAUUUGAACAAUGAUCUUUUCAAAUAUUUUCUGGCUAUGCAGUUUCCCUCAGUUGAAGGAAAAUGGCUGCCUGAUUUAAAAGGGGGGUUUCUUGGCAUAUGUUUCAAUCUCUUGGCUUAUGAUUCUAUUUUUGUAUUUUAGAGCGUAUGGAUCUUGCCAUAAUCUGUGCAAUGCUUCCUUAUGCAGACACAUUCUAAUCUUUUUGGAAGGAGAACAUGCUGCUUCAAAGCGGGGGUUUGAGUGGUUUUCGAUUGAUUUAAUUUUAUGUGAUUUUGAAACAUUAUUUGAACAAUGAUCUUUUCAAAUAUUUUCUGGCUAUGCAGUUUCCCUCAGCUGAAGGAAAAUGGCUGCCUGAUUUAAAAGGGGGUUUCUUGGCAUAUAUUUCAAUCUCUUGGCUUAUGAUUCUAUUUUUGUAUUUUAGAGCGUAUGGAUCUUGCCAUAAUCUGUGCAAUGCUUCCUUAUGCAGACACAUUCUAAUCUUUUUGGAAGGAGAACAUGCUGCUUCAAAGCGGGGGUUUGAGUGGUUUUUCGAUUGAUUUAAUUUUAUGUGAUUUUGAAACAUUAUUUGAACAAUGAUCUUUUCAAAUAUUUUCUGGCUAUGCAGUUUCCCUCAGUUGAAGGAAAAUGGCUGCCUGAUUUAAAAGGGGGUUUCUUGGCAUAUGUUUCAAUCUCUUGGCUUAUGAUUCUAUUUUUGUAUUUUAGAGCGUAUGGAUCUUGCCAUAAUCUGAGCAAUGCUUCCUUAUGCAGACACAUUCUAAUCUUUUUGGAAGGAGAACAUGCUGCUUCAAAGCGGGGGUUUGAGUGGUUUUCGAUUGAUUUAAUUUUAUGUGAUUUUGAAACAUUAUUUGAACAAUGAUCUUUUCAAAUAUUUUCUGGCUAUGCAGUUUCCCUCGGUUGAAGGAAAAUGGCUGCCUGAUAUAAAAGGGGGUUUCUUGGCAUAUGUUUCAAUCUCUGUUUUCUUAAUGGCUUAUGAGAUCUAGCACCAUUAUUUGUGGAAUUUUCGUUGCAGAUGAUAUACUUUAUGGAGUUGGCUUGUUGAAGCAGAACGUGUCGUUUUUAAGAGGGGUUUUAAGUGCUUCCUUGUUUUCGGUUGAAUUUUCUGUUCUUUGGCUUUUUCUGGUUCAUCGAUUUGUGUCUACCUAUUCUUGUUUGUAUGCAGAUGUGUUGAAGUGCAGCUAAUUAGGAGUUGAACAGUUUAAAGGAGAGCGGGUGUCCUUCUCUUAGGGGGUUCCAUUGUCUUCUGAUUAUAUUCUAUUUUCUUAGAGCGUAUAUUUUUGUGCCUUUAUUUGAGCAGAGCACUGUUUUUAUAUGCAGACAUAUUCCUACGCCUGUCUGUGUACGAGGUCCAUGCUUGUUAGCUCUGUUGUAGAACGGGCUGUUUCUAAGAUGGGGUUUGAGUGAUUAUUGGAUUAUGUAAUUUCUUAUUUUUGGUGGGUUAAUGUUACCUCCUACCAUUAUUUGAUCAGUGAUCGAUGUUUCAUAUCAGAUGCUACCUGAAUUUUUGGUCAUGAAAUCUCACUCAGUCGUUGAGCAAUUUGCUAUCUGCUUCGAAAGGGGGUUUGAUGUUUCUUGGUUUAUGCUUACCUUUCUUAUAUAUUGGAGGUUGUGAGACAUGGACCAUUAUUUGCGCAAUUUUCUGUGCAGAUGCGUUUUAGAGUUCGUAUGCGUAUGGAGUUUAACUUUGUUCAAGGAGAAAGGGGUGCUUUGAAGGGGGUUUCUUUUGAAUCUGUUUUAAAUUUCUAUAUGUCGACUCUGUAUGUGAUUCUACGCCUUGAUUUGAGCAACGCUUCUGUAUGCAGACAUUCUCUCUCUUGUCCAUAUAUGGCAACCACCGUGGAAGGAGCAGUUUGAAUAUGGGGGUUUGAGUAGUUCUUGGGUUAUUAUUUUGUUUCUUAUUCCUUUGGGUUGACGGGAGCUGAAAUAAUCAUUGCAACAAUGUUUCAUGCAGUUACAUUCCAGAUAGUCUAUUUAAGAAGUCUGUUGGAUGGAUUGGCCGACUGCUUUUGAAAAGGGGGUUUGAUGCUUCUAAGCCUGUACUCUUGUAUUCAUUAGACUAAAUACUAUAUGCGAUCGUGGACUAUCAUUUGAGCAGUUAUUUGUGCAGAUGCCUUUGUCUUUUGUCUGUUUGUGUAGUCUUUACUUCAUUAUCGGAGAGCAGCCUGAGCAGGCAGCUUUUAAGAGGGGGUUUUUGGGCUUACGUUUAUCUUUUUACUUUCUAUUUUAUUUUUUUAUUAGUACGUAGCUUGUACCUUCCUUUGAGCAAUGGUUUUUGUAUGCAGACACGUCCGGACUCUAUUUUUGUGAAAGGAGAGCGGUGGAUUUUAACAGGGGUUACCUUAUGUUUUUGUUUUAAUUGUCCGUUAUUAGACUUUGUAUGCAAUCUUGCACCAUGAGUGGGCAUUGUUUCUGUAUGCAGACAUAUUGGCGAGCAUUGGAAGGAGGGCAGUCUGAAUGGGGGUUUGAGUUCGGUUUUGGAUGUUAUUUCUUACUCGUUUGGGUUUGAUGAGAUCUGGAACUAUUAUUGGAACAAUGUUUUAUGCAGGACCUAUUCCAAAAUAGUCUGUUUAUGAAGUCUCAGAGUGUUGGAUGGCAACGGGCUGCCUGUUUUAAAGAGGGGUUUAAUAUAUCUUAGCCUAUGUCUUGAUCUCCUAUUUCUUGUGUUUUGCGAUAUUGUUUGAGCAAUUAAUUAUGCAGACGCCUUUUUGUGUCGGAUGGAGUCCAACUCAUUAUAGGAGAGCAGCCAACUUUUGAGAGGGGGUCUUUGGCUUACGGUUUUUUUUUUUUUUUUCUUUUGUUGGCGUGAUAGAGAUAUUUUAUAGUUAUUUGAGCAAUGUUUUUUGUAUGCAGACACGUCCCCACAUUAGGUUGUAUGUGGUGUGCAAGUUUAGUGGGGGAGAAUGGGCUGCUUAUGAAAGGGGGUUUCCAUAGUUUGCCUUAUGAAUUUAUUUCAAGUUUUUUGUGAGUUUUGAGAUGCUGAACCAUUAUACUCACUGUUUAUUUGCAGAUGUGUCCCAAACUUUUCUUUUGCCUCACUCAGUUGAGUGAAAAAUGGGCUGCCUGCUUUUAGGACGAAGUCAGAUACCUUUUCCCUUUUUUGUUUGUUUGUAAUUUAUUUGCUCUUAUGAGACCUCUUAUGAUUUUCAUUUUUUCUUUCUUUGUUUAUAUAUAUAUUUGCUGUAUUAUUUGUGCGUACUUUUUGUAUGCAGAGACAUCCCAGCUUCUGUCUGUGCUCAGAAGGGGUGCGAAAUGCUUUUAGAAGGGGUUUGAGUUCUUGUCUUGUUACUUGAUUUCAUAUUGGUUUGGAUACCAUUGUCUUCCACGCUAAUGCAUUUGCAGACGUUUUUAGCUUGGAGUCUUUCAUGGGGGUCUACUUUAUGGAAUUGUCCUCACAUUCGGUUUGCUAUUCAUCUGUCAGCCGUCACUUUGUUCAUUAAAAGAUUUGUCUUCAUUGGGUUUACACUUAAUUGGCUUCAUUGUCUUUUGGCACUGGUUUACGCAUCUCAGCUUGGUUUAUGUUCAAAUGUUUCAGCUUGUGUGGAUGGUGGUACUCCCUAUUGUUUGACAAACGCUGAAUUUUGUUUGGUGACUUAAAAUUCUUCAUUCGGCAUUUUUUAUUUCAGCAACGCAUUAUUCAGUUAUCUUUAAACAUAGUUACAGAGGAUAGCGGUCUGCAGCUGAUUUUAAGUUGGAUGAUGGUUCUUUUCUUAUAUUUAGUUUUCCUGUAAAGCGCCGUAAGGUCUUUUUGGUUGGUGCUUCGCUUCAUUGAAUCCUAGAGGAGUAUGAGCUGCUUCUAAGAUGGAGUUUGUUACUUGAUGGCUUUUAUUUUCAAGAUGGCACUCUACGUGGACCGAAGUCAUGGAUUGUGGUUUUGUUUCAACAACUAUGUUUGUGUCGUGCUGUGGUCCUGUGCAGAAUAAUGUCAAGUCUCAUGGGGUUGGGCUGGAUUCAAUAUCUUCUACUUUCCUUGGCCAGAGAUUUCUUCCGGGAGUUGCUUUUAAUUUAAGAGGUUCAUGCUUUCUGUCCUAUCAAGUUAUCGUUUAAUUUGCCAUCUGUAAGAGUUCAUAAUAUCCAGGCAGCUAUGUAUGUCGAUGCAUUCCGCAAGGCAUUUGUUAGAAACUUAGAGGGGGUGUUUAACGUGCUUACUAUCUGGCAGCAGUGUUUGGGAUAUAUGAUUAUGCAUUGAGGAGCUUAUUUCUUUUUCUUGAAUGAGUAUCAUGUUGAAGUUGAUGGAACUGACCGUAGAAGAUGUUGUGGAGUCGGGUUUUAUCCUAUUCAGACUUUAUUAUUUCCCUGUUUCUCAUCGAUCAUCUCUUUAGUUUCCCUUAUGUACUUUGUCAUUAGUGUUGGUAUUACUUAUGCAGAUGUAACUUUGGUGAGGUCUUGCUUGAUUUCAAGUUUUGAUGAUGGAAAUAAAAGUGGUAUAAAUGUCCUUUUUCCCUUUUGUAUUGAAGUUUCGCAAUCUCGUAUCAUGAAUUUAUUAUCACUGUCCAAUUCAGUUUUUAUUUUUUUAUUUUUAUUUUUUAAAUCUGAUCCUCGUUUGGCUUUAGAUCCGGUUUAUUGUCGACGUGGAAGCUGUGCAGGUUGCAUUUUAAAAUUUAAUGCAACUGUCGUGAUUUUAUAUGUGCAAUGUCAUAGUGUUGCUGGAUUAAUAUUUUUAACUUAUUGAAAAUGGUGAAUAUUCUUAAUUGUGGGCUAAUUUGGAAAGCAGCUAAAUGAAGGGCAUCAAUUAUUUUAUAGUGUGGUGAUCUGUAUCUGCAAUUCGAAUAUAUUGCUUGGAAUAUAAUGCUAAAACAAGGGCAAAGCAUGUUAGCUGAAUGAAGGAAUUCUUAUAUCGAAUUGUAAGUAAGUCCACUGUCUGAUUUUGUUUAAACUCUUGUUGCUAGACACAUAAUUUUAUUUGUUUCGUGUUUUAAUUGUUGUUACAGGCGCAUGAUAUUUCGAUACAAUAACAUGAUGUAUUUUAGUCAAAAACUACACUUUUUAUAUUUGUAACGUUACGUGUUCUAAUUCGGCACAAUAGUUUUGAGUUUAUUUCAGUGGAUUCGUAUGACAAUUAUCUGAUAUAUAAGAGGUCUGGCAUUAGUUGUUAGUCAUCUGCCCUUGGUAUUGCUGCUGCUAAAUUUGGGUGUUGUUAGGAUAGAGGAGAUUUUCGCUGAUCAAGUUGUGUGUAGUGCUCGAAUAUGUUUAGCCGCAUGAUUUGUAAUUAUGUCUCUAGUUGUUACGGCUCUUCGGUGUUUUCGUCCUGCAUUUAGAGAUGUCUUUUAGGGGUAUAACAUGCAAAAAAUAAAACUUAAAAAGAGUAAAUGAGAAAUUGUCCGGAUCGUUUCUUUUCCUCUCGUGUCCAAUCGUUUGUUAUAGUCUGUUGUGUGUGCAUUUGUUGUUAGGUUAGGUUAGGUUAGGUUAGAGGGAUGUAGCUCAAAAUGGUAGAGCAACUCAGCUUGUGUUGUAGCUGAGAAGAUCAAGGUUCGAAUCCUUGCAUCCCUGCAUCCUACUUUAUUGCAUUGAGAAAUGAAUUCUAACUUCUUGUGUGUAGUGCUUCUGUUUGUGUUUAGAAAUCCUGGAAGACGUAUGGAACUGCCUAAUUUUCAAGGCGGAGGUUACCCUCUGCAUGCUGUUUUCGUUACUCAGAUGAUCAGGUCUUUGAAUGUAUCGAAUUUCAGGCUGGAAACCUGCUUCUGCAUUUCCCGUGCAGACCGGAGAGAGCUGCUCAAGCUUCGGUAGCCUUCGGGUGUUUGGGGGAAGAAAACCAUCAGCAUCCGAGACAGAUCGAAGAUCUUGUGGAAGAAAAAACAUCAUCAUCGCCACCACGACGCACUAUAGAAAACGAGGGUGGCAGUGCAAGGAAAAGGAAGGAAACCAAAAGGACCGGUUGUGGAACUUCUUGUUUCAUAAGAAAAACAUCUAAUAGAUCUUUAGAGUUGAUAUGUUUACAAAUUCAUCUUUUGGGAUUUGGUAUGUUGUGUUUCUGUUUUGGGCCCUGAGAUCUCUUUCUGUUUGAGCUCGCUGGAAAUUUCGGGCACAAGUAUUCAAUUUGUUCGUACCUGUUUACUAUUGAACUGAGACCAACAUAGCAAAAAUUCUUCGAGACUAUCGGCCUGUCUAUUUUCUUUGGGCUUGUAAGAUCUUGUUUACCAAAUUAUUUCUAA